rnacentral:rRNA from 1 species
UACGUAGGGCGCAAGCGUUGUCCGGAAUUAUUGGGCGUAAAGAGCUCGUAGGCGGUCUGUCGCGUCGGAUGUGAAAGCCCGGGGCUUAACCCCGGGUCUGCAUUCGAUACGGGCAGACUAGAGUGUGGUAGGGGAGAUCGGAAUUCCUGGUGUAGCGGUGAAAUGCGCAGAUAUCAGGAGGAACACCAGCGGCGAAGGCGGCGCUCUGGGCCGGUACUGACGCUGAGGCGCGAAAGCGUGGGGAGCGAACAGG